rnacentral:rRNA from 1 species
AGAGUUUGAUCCUGGCUCAGGAUGAACGCUGGCGGCGUGCCUAACACAUGCAAGUCGAACGAUGAAACCGCCCUCGGGCGGACAUGAAGUGGCGAACGGGUGAGUAACACGUGACCAACCUGCCCCUUGCUCCGGGACAACCUUGGGAAACCGAGGCUAAUACCGGAUACUCCUCGCCCCCCUCCUGGGGGGCCCGGGAAAGCCCAGACGGCAAGGGAUGGGGUCGCGGCCCAUUAGGUAGUAGGCGGGGUAACGGCCCACCUAGCCCGCGAUGGGUAGCCGGGUUGAGAGACCGACCGGCCACAUUGGGACUGAGAUACGGCCCAGACUCCUACGGGAGGCAGCAGUGGGGAAUUUUGCGCAAUGGGGGAAACCCUGACGCAGCAACGCCGCGUGCGGGACGACGGCCUUCGGGUUGUAAACCGCUUUCAGCAGGGAAGAAAUUCGACGGUACCUGCAGAAGAAGCUCCGGCUAACUACGUGCCAGCAGCCGCGGUAAUACGUAGGGAGCGAGCGUUAUCCGGAUUCAUUGGGCGUAAAGAGCGCGUAGGCGGCCUCUCAAGCGGGAUCUCUAAUCCGAGGGCUCAACCCCCGGCCGGAUCCCGAACUGGGAGGCUCGAGUUCGGUAGAGGCAGGCGGAAUUCCCGGUGUAGCGGUGGAAUGCGCAGAUAUCGGGAAGAACACCGAUGGCGAAGGCAGCCUGCUGGGCCGCAACUGACGCUGAGGCGCGAAAGCUAGGGGAGCGAACAGGAUUAGAUACCCUGGUAGUCCUAGCCGUAAACGAUGGAUACUAGGUGUGGGGGGCUCCGCCCUCCGUGCCGCAGCCAACGCAUUAAGUAUCCCGCCUGGGGAGUACGGCCGCAAGGCUAAAACUCAAAGGAAUUGACGGGGGCC